AGUGGGACGGACAAUCGCCGGAGACCGGUACAUGCCGGGAUCGGGAGGAAAGUCCGGGCUUCGCAGGGCAGGAUGCCGGAUAACGUCCGGUGGAGGUGACUCUAAGGAAAGUGCAACAGAAAUGAUACCGCCUGCAUUGCAGGUAAGGGUGAAAUGGCGGUGUAAGAGACCACCGCUGCAACGGUAACGCUGCAGGCAUAUGUAAACCCCAUCCGAAGCAAGACCAAGCAGAGGGCUAUACGGCUGCCCGUCGUGCCUUCAGGUAGGUCGCUUGAGGUGGCCGGUAACGGCCAUCCUAGAUAGAUGAUUGUUCGAGACAGAACCCGGCUUACAGUCCCACUCAU
rnacentral:RNase_P_RNA from 1 species